rnacentral:lncRNA from 1 species
GGAAGGGCCCAGCUGGAUCUCAGCUGGGUUCUUCCCUCCUCUUUAUAGAGACAAGCUUUCACACAGCAGAGAGGUAAUGUAUUCUGUGCUGCUCCAAAGGGAAGGGGAGCCAUUAUAGUUGGUGCCAGAUGCUGCACCGGGUAUACCAUUUUGUAGUCCAGUGAGCCCUCCCAGCAGCUCUGUGAGGUAGGCACUCUAAUUGUCUUUAUUUUCUAGCAGAAAUGAGAGAUCCAGAAAUGAGGAAGCUGUGAAGGUCACAAUGCUGGAUUCCAAAAUGAGUCUGCCUGACUCUGAAAUGCCAACCUUUGCGCCUACCCAAGGUCACAUAGCAGGUAAGUAACUGAAUUGGACAGCUCUGUCACGAAUGCUACAGAACACAUCUGUGCAAGUGUCAAAAGGCUAGGCCUGGUGACCUCUGAGAGUCCCUCUUAGUAGAGAGAUUCUGGGAGCACAUGUUUGACAAGGGCAGUCAUAAAAAGUUCCAUCCCCACACUGACUAUUGGAAGACUUCUCAUCAUUCAGAUAGAUCUGGAAAUAAACUCAUAAAGGGAAGCUCAGUCAUCACUUCUUAUCUGACUUGAAUUUCAAUAUUUUUUUUCAUUAUCUAUCUCAUUCCUAUCUCUCAGCAAUGACAUCCUUUACGUUUUUCCUAUCAUGUUUGAAUCAGAGGGUUGGGUGCAUUGGAUUGUUUCAAUUAUAAGUGCCUUGUCCUUAAAGCCAGAUCACAAAAUAACAGAAGCAUGUGUAACAACUUUUCCUGUGUAAUAAACCACCACAUAACUUAAUGGGUUAGAGAUCAGUUUAAGUUUGACUGAUCUAGACCAAACUCAUCUAGAUUGCACUGCAGGCCAGGGGUUAGAUAUGGGACCAUUUUACGUUGUUCUAAAUCUUCUGGAACUAGCAUCCAUUGCAUGUCUUGCAAAUGCACAAAAGGAAACCUAGUUACAUAAGCCUCUGUUUGAAUCAUAUUCCUAAAUAGUCCAGUAACUUAAGUGGCCAAUCCCAAAGUCAAGGAAUGAAGUUCACUCUGCCCACUAUAAGGUAAGGAUGAAAAUAAUGGAAAAUUGGGCCCAAAACUCAACCCAUCACAUCAUUCAACCAAACAUUUGGUUGGUUGAAUAGUACCUAUUUCCUACUCCAUGUUGAGUUGUAUUUCCAUCACUAGCAACUUAAAACUGAAAUCAACCAUGCAUUAGUCAUACAGCUAGGCAUCUGGUUUAUCAACAUACUUAAGUCAUGUUCCAAGAUUCUAUAAGCUUAAGGUCAAGUGGAGCAGAAAAAGAAGAAAAGCUUGAAUUUAUUGAAUAUUACUAUGUUCUAAACACUGUGUUAAGUAAACCCAUGGGUACAUAUAAUUGCAUCAAGACCUCCCAACAACCCUAUGAAUAGAACUUCUGAAAAUCCACCUUUUAACAGAUCAUAAAAUUGAGGUCCAAAGGAGUUAUUGUGAACACCCAAAGUAACUUGUGAAAAGCCACACAUCUAGGAAGCCAAGGAUCUAGGCUUCAAAUUAGAUAUAACCCCAAACCCUGUGCCCAACUAUAAUGCAGAAAAUAAGUGUCAUACUAUAUGUACAGGCACAGUCCUAUCAAUCAUGGGGAGGGAGUGGGGGGGACAGUUGAGUUUUCACAAUGGAAGUAGCAAAUAAGCUGGGUCUUGAAGCAUGAAUAGACACCCACCACGUGUUUGGGUUAGUGGAAAAUGUAUUUGCUAUGGCUUGAUGGGAGAAAAAGGGCACUGUCCAGAAGAAGCAGAGGCUUGGGUGCUUUGGACUGUAGAGAAUGAGGCAGGAAAUGAAAUGGAAAGAGGAGGCUAUGCAGGUGAUGGAGGACAAGGGGGCUUAAGCUUUGCUUUCAGGAACUGGGGAGCCCUAAGCAAACGUUGUCUGACUGAACUUGAGUUCUAGCAAGAACAGUUUGGUACCAAAGUGGAGGAGAUGGGCUUGAGCAUGGAAGCCAAAGGACAAAAUGCAAAUUUUUAUGUCUUCCACACAAGUAGCUACUACCAACCUAAGAAGCAGCCCAGGUGGGCCCACAGUAACUGGAUACAGCAUGCUGAGAUCCAAGUGCUGUCAACUGUCCCUGCUCUGGGGGGUAGCACGGGUUGCCCUGUUGGAGAGUGGGCCCAAAGAUACAGAUGUUUUAAGUCUUUAAUUUUUUAUAUCUUAAUUUUUAAAAUCUGGCCUUCCUUUCGGUCCUUACUUUCCCAAAUACGGUCUAACUCGGGAAAUGGAUGCAGAAUUGUUCUUACUCUACACGUGAACUCUUACUGCCCUGAAUAAGUUUGGACAAUUCAGUUGGUGUGGGACCUACCAGCAACCAAUUCAAGCAUUUAAAUCAUGCUCAUCAUUAUGGACAUAUUUAUAUAAUACAUAUUAUACAUAUAUACAUACACAAUUAUAGCUUCAUAUGUAUGUACACAAACAUGUAUAUUCACACCUAUAUACACACACACAAACAAACAUGUAUGCAUAUAUUUAUAUACAUGCUUACAUGUUUGUGUGUGUAUAUAGGUGCAUGCACACACAUACACACAACACAGAGGAAGCUGCUGCCAUCACCGCAACACAGAUACUAAAGAUCGCAAUUAUAUGGAUCGCCCAGGAACCCCAGGUAUCUUCUGCCUCUUGCACAUUCUUUUUUGUCAAAUACAAACCUCCUCUCUAGACUUUUCUCCCAUUAUCUGACAACUAGGACCCUGGAAUUGUCCCCAGGAAGGUGAACAAGGUUGAGCCAUGUAGCUUCAGAUUUCAAAAGUAAAAGAUAAGCCGGGCACAGUGGUACACACUGGAAUCCCAGCAGCUCAGGAGGCAGAGGGAGGCAGGAGGAAUGCAGAUUCAAAGCCAGCAUCAGCAACUUUAGCAAGGUUAUAAGCACCUUAAUAAGACCCUGUCUCAAAAUAAAAAAUCAAAAGGGCUGGGGAUGUGGUUCAGUGGUUAAGCAUCCUUGAUUCAAUCCCUGAUACAAAAAAAAAAAAGUUAAAGAUAGAUUUCGGUGAGCUGAAUGACCAAUGAAAAGUGUAGCAAUGAUUUAGUUACUGAAACCUUCCACCCUUGUGUUGAUUGUUUUAAUUACUAUCUGUUCUACCACUCUAUUGUUUGAAGGAAAGAUAAUUCUUCUCUCUCUCCCUCUCCCUCUUUCCCUCCCUCUCCCUCCCUCCCUCCCUCUCCCUCUCCCUCUCUUUCACAUUCUCUCAUUUUCUAUGACUAGUUUCCUGUGUGCAAAAUGACCACUCUCUCGUUCACAUGGCUUCCAUUCCUCAUCUACUCUUUUGAUUUUCUCCCACCGGAAAUGUUCCAUUUCCUCCCACCAGCUGCUUCUAAGCAAUGAAAGCUACAAAUACUCCUAGACAGUAUCUUAAUUAUUUAAUACCUUUGCAGUCAAUUUCCCGGACCUAAGAAUGCUGUCCAGGGUCCCCGAGGGCUCUAGGAGCACUCUCCUGGAAACGGAAGGUCUCUCCCACCAGCCGCAGUCCUCAGGGGGUUAAAAUCCAGUGGUUCUCUCAUCACCUGCGCCUGAAUCUACAACUCUGGUUUAUCAUACUUGUCUGAGGGCCUAGUUCUUGGUUCAGAAAAGGUUUUCAGCUAGAUAGUUUGCAACCCAAGAGUACAUCUCUAAUUCAUGGUAGCUUGUUUUAUGUAUGGCAGCAGUAUUCCUAAUAUCCUUCCUCUCACCUGUUUUUGUGGUGUAUUUGUACGUCAUUAGCAAAAAUUUGUUGGAAAAAAAUCUGAAUGAACUUCAGACAAUUCCUGAAACUAUUAGAUCAAUCCAACAAAUAUUUAUUAUAUAUUUAUUACAUUGUACACAUUUAUAACAUGUGUAAGACACUGGUCUGCACAAGGGUAAUAAGCAAACUCUUUAUUGAUUUUGUAAAUAAAGUUUUAUUGGAACACAGCUCUCUUAUUCAUUUACAUGUGGUCUAUGGCUGCUUUCAAACUAAAAUGACAGUGAGUACUUGGAGCAGGGACCUCAUACCCAACAAAUCAUAAAGUGUUCAUGAUCUGACCAUGACCUGGAAAUGGGGUAUUUCAUAGGAAGUCAUCUGGAGAGUCUUACUGGCUCUCACAGCUCAUCACAAAUACUGGUAACUCCUAAAAUCUAUAGCUCUGUUUGAACCUCUCUUCAACACCCCCAAAUCUCCACAUGAAUACUUUUUGGACACCUCCACCUGCUAUCCCAACAUUCUGCAGGCUUCUCAAGCUCAUCUCCCCACACGAACCUCUCUUCCUACGGUGUUCCCUGUCUCAUUUAAGGCAUCACCACCCAGAGAUCCCAUGUCUCUGUCACCUAGAAGCCAACCUGGAUCUCUUUAGCUCCCCAUGGAACUGCUGUGAGUUCCUCCAAAUACAUCUCCUUCUUCCCACUGUUGCCACAUCAACCUUCAUUUCCUAUCUGAACUACUGCACAAGUUCCCCCUUUCCACCCUGAAAGCCCCCUCUCAGCCCAAGGAUGAGAAUCAGCCAAGUCGAGGCACAAAAAAGCAACUCAAAAUACAUGAUUUUUCAUAUAAUUUUGAGAAUAGCCCUUACAGCUCUAAUAUAACAACAUCCAACACUUAUAUCAUUUUACUCUGGUCCAGGCAGAGCUCUAGGUAAUUUAUCAAUUUGAUCCUCCUAAUAAACCUAUAAAGUAGGCACUCCAAUGGUCUAUCUUAAAGAUGGGGAAUGUCUGACUCGAGUCUGCGUUCUUAACCAUGAGCUUGUGCUGAGCUGCCCCUGUUGACCUCAGCUUUAUUUAUCUUGCCAGGGUCACUAACACUGAACCCAAAGUCAGCUCAGGUGACAACCCCCUCCUUGGCUGGGCUACUCCUCAGGAGAAUGUAGAGAAUUCUUGCCCAGGGGACCUUACCCUGGUAUACCAGGAGAGGGGCUGCCCAACACCAGGCCUCUCCCACCACUGUUCAGAUGAAACUUAUCAUCAAAAGGAUGCUCAGACACUCCAGAGCAGCACUUGUGUGGGCAGAACAGAAUUACAGGAUGGGGCUGAAAGAGUUAGGGCAAUAACAACCCUUAGGCAGGCUUUCUCCUGCAUUUGUCUAAGAUGAAAUCCAUUACUGAGUUGCCUUUCUGCUCCCAGAUCUGUCACUCUACAAGCUUUUAUCAUGAAUAGCAAUACACUUAAAUAUUCAGCAAGUGCCCUGCAGAACGCUAAAUACUGAAAGCACACAUAAAGGUCAUGGUCUCAAUCCCCUUCCUUUUCCCUGGAAUUUACAGUUUAAGAGCCAAGACCCCUAAGCUGCACUCUUGAUAAAAUGUGGCCUACAAAUGUAGGCAGCUCUUGCCCUGUUUUUGAAACACUCACUUUCUCCUGUCUUUAUUGUGUAUAAUCUGAAGGAAAAGGCAAGGAAAAUGACAUAGUCAAUUCAUCUGAACUGAAUAUAUUAAGAAUUUCUUCUAUACCAAGCUCUGUUCUUGGCAUCGAAAGGGAUAAACAAGAGUAGCAAAUAUUUCUUAUCUUCAAGAAGUAUUCUAUCUGGCAGUGAGAUAAAAUAUAACAUGAUACCUGAGGCUGGAUAGCUUAUGAAGAAAUGAGGGUUCUUUUAGCUCACAGUUUUGAAAACUGAAAGUUUAAGAUAGGGCAAUGCCAUCGGUUCAGCCCUUGGCUGCAUCACAACACAGCAGAUGUCAUCAUGGCAGGAGCACAUGUAAAAGGAGGACUAGUCACAGGGUGAAACAGGAAGCCUGACACCAGGGAGGGGGUUCAUCUUGCUCUUUUGUACUAACUCCUUGUACAAGACCAGAAUUAAUUCCUCUGAGGGUAGUGUUCCCAAGGACCUAACCACCCUCCACUAGGCCAUACCUCCUUAAGGUUCCACCACCUCCUUAUAUCGUCACAUUAGGGAGACAAGGCUUCCCACACAUGAUGCCCUGAGGGACAAACCACAUCCAAAGCAAAGCAACUGUAUUACCGCCCAUAAAACACACACCCACAAGGGAUGCCACAGUGAAGCUCACUUCACUGGGUCUCUAAGUUCAGUUCAGUACCAUCUCAUAUAAUUCUCACUAUAUAUAAUAAUCCAGUAAAGCAGGGAUUAUUUGCUCCAUUUUAUAAAUGAGAAAAUUGAGGUUACUCAGAGAAGUCAAGUAACCUUCCCUUAAAGUAGAAAAGCUGGGAUUAAAUCCUAAAUCUGAAGCCCAUAGUAAAGGCAUAAUUGAAGUUUUUCUGUUUCGGUUUUGGUUUGGUUGGUUGUUUGGGUUUUUGUACCCCCAAAAGUGAGUAGAGAUGUGAAUGAGGGUCACUUGGACUAAAAUGUUCUAAGCCCAGGGAAGACCAUAAGGGAAAUUCUGGAUUCAGGGAAGUGUGGGGUGUCCCCAGGGUGGAAGAAAGGGGGACUGUGGUAGAAGUUAGUCUUGAGAGCAAGUUGGGGUCUCGACUGAGUAUUGAGGAGGGUUUCACAUUUGGUGUCCACUGGUUCCACAAUGGUAGUUCCCCCCAAAUAGAUCAUGCUUUAGGACAUAAAAACAGCCUUUAAACCAAAUCAUGUACAUCUCCCUCAAUACUUUUCCUGUCAUCUUUUCUAGCACAACAAAAUCUUGAGCAAUUUUGGACCCAGCAAACAUAGACUUCCCAGGACAGACCGCUUGUCCUUGCCAUGGUCCUUCAUGCUCUGGUGAUGGAGAUCGCAGGGGUUCAGCAGCCCUCCAGCUAAUCACUUCUCCCUCCGAGAGGAGUAGCUAUUGCCUUGCAUCUCUGCCUCAUCAAAGGAGAACCAAAUUGGCUUGUGGGCAUUCUACUGGGAUUGGUAUGUGGCAUGUUGCAUUAAUAGAGUGUUUGAAGUACAGCCUUCAGAAAGUAUGCUUCCAUUUGCCACACUUUAUCAUAAUCAGAGACUCAGAGCAUCGACCACAAGAAAGAACAGAGUCUGAAGUCUUUAUUGAAUGAAAGAUAGAUAAGCAGAGUAGGGCAGGAGAAAGGUUGUAGAAAAGACCCAAUUCAUGUUUUCAAUAACCAUGCACAUUUCCACAAUGUCUUAGGAGCAAGAUUAUGUCUUACAAGCAAGAUGACUCAAGGACGUUGUGGGGAAUGAGCGUGAAUUGACAAGACAAACUUCCAUAGUCUCUGGAGUGAUGUGCAAGGGUGACCCCAAAGGUCAAAGGACUCAGAUCAUAAACUCAUAGUGGGAAGGAACAAAAGAGAUCAGCUCCUCAUGUUAAAACUGGGACAGCUGAAGCUCAGGGAGUAUAUAGACUUAACCAAGGUCACGCAGGUGGUUGGUGAUGGAACAAGACCUGAAGUAUCCAGGUUUCCAGCAUCUGUUUAUGACCUCACGCUGACUUUUAGGAGGACAUGACUAUGAGCAAACAUAAAGGUUUUCAGAUGGCAGAAACCAAGGCACGGGUGUAAAAGGCCAGGGAAGUAUUCCAGGAGGACACAGAAUAAACUGAAGAGGCUUUGAAGAAUAGAUCCCAUUUAAAUAAAAGGGGAGCAGAGGACACUGCAGAAAGCAGGGGAUGCCCUCCAUCUGCCCAGAAUGUGCCAAACCUGGCAUCUCAAUAUCAGAACAAAGAGAUAAGCAGAUUCUUGUGAUGAAAAAUUGCUACCGCAGUAAAAUUAAAUCCCCCUUCCCGGAAGAAACAUAAGCCCUUGUAAAGACAAGAAAUCUAAACCUCUGUGUCCUCACUUAAUAGUUUAAAGAAACUUACAAGAUCCUUGAAAGGUUGAAGAGAGAAGCGGGGUAGAAUUCACUUUUUCUCCCUGCUUAAAGGAAUAGUGUUUCCUGCUAACAGCUGUAACACUCAGGAAGCACCAGAGGGUUUCAUCCCUGGUAGGGCAGCAGGGCAGGGACAGUUCCCCAGAGCGUGGGAGGGGAAUCCAGCUUCCCCAGAGGCUCAGCCAAUCACCAGUGGGGGAGGCACUCCAGGAAGCCUGAGACUCCCUCUCAGCUCAUUGGCCCAUCACUCAUCUCCCCCAACUAGGAUGGGAUGAAGGCUCUAAAACCAAGACACCAAGACAGCCGCUCACGUUGGCCAGCAUUCAUGAAACAAUUUGCAGGCGAAAAACGUAGAACCCAGGAUGGAGACGUACAU